UUUUCGUGAAUUCAUAUGUGACCAAAAAGGGAACCACUACAUAGUCAUAACUAGUACACUUUCCCUACUAUGUAAAAUUUAGCAGAACCCUACUUUUCAGAAAUGAUUCUUAACGAAGUUUUAAAUUUUCACUUGUAUGAAUUCCAUAAUUAAAAUUACAAUUUUCAUUACAUUUUUGAUAACCAUGAUCACAUAAUAACUUUUGUCAGUAAAAACUUAUAUUUUUUUCGGUAAAAAAACAACAUAAGCAUGUUCUGCCGCGUAAUUUAAACACCUGGAUGAUGAGAAAGCGUAUUGAACAGAAAUGUAUCAUGUAACAACAUUUCAAAUGUUCAAAGAUUUUCUAACACUAAUUUUCAAGUCGAAAAUUAUGCUUCUCAGUCAUCUUUUGAUGAAUAUUCAGAGUUUUCCUAAUUUUUGGAACCGAACAG